rnacentral:rRNA from 1 species
UACGUAGGGGGCAAGCGUUGUCCGGAUUUAUUGGGCGUAAAGAGCGUGUAGGCGGCCAGGUAGGUCUGCUGUGAAAACUCGAGGCUUAACCUCGAGCUGUCGGCGGAAACCAUCUGGCUAGAGUCCGGAAGAGGAGAAUGGAAUUCCCGGUGUAGCGGUGAAAUGCGCAGAUAUCAGGAAGAACACCGAUGGCGAAGGCAGCUCUCUGGGACGGUACUGACGCUGAGACGCGAAAGCGUGGGGAGCGAACAGG